rnacentral:lncRNA from 1 species
UCUGAACCAAAGACCAUGAGUCUGCACUCAAUCCAAGUAAAGCUGCAAUAGCACGGAAACCAUAAUUUCCAUGUUUCUCAACAUCAAUAAUGUCAUCAAUGUAUGCAUGUAGGAAAUCAGGAAACUAAGACAAGUAAACAUCUCUCGAAGAUUCGAUGGACAGUUGACUUCCAAUAAGUUUUGUGCAUGAUCUCUUCGUCGUAUGACUCCUUUACGAGCCCUCAUCAUACUCUCAUUGUGAAGGAUCAUGAUGCACAUGACUCUCUUGACC